rnacentral:lncRNA from 1 species
GGCGGUUUGUUUUUACUUGAGCCUGCCUUUGUACCCUUUUUAACUUAAAGAACAGAGCCACACCGGUAUUAUAUGUGUAUAGUUAUAUUGCGUUUGCAGACUAAAUUGUCAUGUUGUGAAAGUUUGUGUGUUUUUAUGUUUUUCCCUUUUUCUUUCCUUUUGUUUUUAAUUCCUUUUAUUAUUAUUAUUAUUAUUAUUGGUUUGUGUGAGAGAGGUUGAGAAGGUUUGGUUUACACUGAGUAUAUGUUGUCAAGUGGCGAAAGUCCACAUAGCUCUCCUGUUUUCUGUAUACGUUCACAGCCUCAAAAAAAAAAAAUAAUUGAAAUGGCUUUAAAAACCAAACAGAACACCUCCAUCCUGUGAUAAGUACCUCGAAUGGAUUCAGCUUUACUCCUUUGUAACUCAUCCUCACAUUUUCAGCAUAUGUAACAAACCAACAAAAUGAAAUACUAGUAGUGAAAAGGCUGACCCACGUGGCUUUGCAGUGCUCUUCGUCCAGAAGCAUGGCACACGAUGCUUGUGCAUGUGGAAACUUAGCGACUGUCAACAUACAUUCUCAGGGAUUUAUCCAAAAAAAA